rnacentral:rRNA from 1 species
GAUGAACGCUGGCGGCGUGCCUAAUACAUGCAAGUCGAGCGAACAGACGAGGAGCUUGCUCCUCUGACGUUAGCGGCGGACGGGUGAGUAACACGUGGAUAACCUACCUAUAAGACUGGGAUAACUUCGGGAAACCGGAGCUAAUACCGGAUAAUAUAUUGAACCGCAUGGUUCAAUAGUGAAAGACGGUUUUGCUGUCACUUAUAGAUGGAUCCGCGCCGCAUUAGCUAGUUGGUAAGGUAACGGCUUACCAAGGCAACGAUGCGUAGCCGACCUGAGAGGGUGAUCGGCCACACUGGAACUGAGACACGGUACAGACGCCUACGGGAGGGAGCAGUAGGGAAUCUUCCGCAAUGGGCGAAAGCAUGACGGAGCAACGCCGCGUGAGUGAUGAAGGUAUUCGGAUCGUAAAACUCUGUUAUUAGGGAAGAAAAAAUGUGUAAGUAACUAUGCACGUAUUGACGGUACCUAAUCAGAAAGACACGGCUAACUACGUG